rnacentral:tmRNA from 1 species
GGGGUCGACUUGGUUUUGACAGCGAGUCUAAUUGAGUUGUAAGCACGUAGAGCGCCGGGGAUAUAGCUCUUAAAUCUCAUGUUUCACACUUUUUCAAACGGCGAGAAUAACUACGCCUUGGCUGCGUAACCGAAUUACAGUAGGUUAUACUUAGUCCCUGCAAGGCAGGGAGCCGAGAUGUCUCGUGGAGGCCUUGAUUUACGGCAUCCACAACAGAGGCACCGAUAAAGUAAAUAUAGGAAGCUCAGGGUCUUGAUGAGUUUCUGAAACUUAAUCGAGAAUACGUGUAAAGUUGGUGGUUUUCGGCCGGCUUUGCAUCGACAAUCAAGUGAAAACUAAACGUGUAGAAAGCAUCUGAAUUGCUUGUUUGGACGAGGGUUCGAACCCCUCCGACUCCACAA